rnacentral:rRNA from 1 species
GACGAACGCUGGCGGCGUGCCUAAUACAUGCAAGUCGAACGAGAGCGACCGGUGCUUGCACUGGUCAAUCUAGUGGCGAACGGGUGAGUAACACGUGGGUAACCUGCCCAUCAGAGGGGGAUAACAUUCGGAAACGGAUGCUAAAACCGCAUAGGUCUUCGAACCGCAUGGUUUGAAGAGGAAAAGAGGCGCAAGCUUCUGCUGAUGGAUGGACCCGCGGUGCAUUAGCUAGUUGGUGAGGUAACGGCUCACCAAGGCCGUGAUGCAUAGCCGACCUGAGAGGGUGAUCGGCCACAUUGGGACUGAGACACGGCCCAAACUCCUACGGGAGGCAGCAGUAGGGAAUCUUCCGCAAUGGACGCAAGUCUGACGGAGCAACGCCGCGUGAGUGAAGAAGGUUUUCGGAUCGUAAAACUCUGUUGUUAGAGAAGAAUAAGUGCUAGGGUAACUGUUAGCGCCUUGACGGUAUCUAACCAGAAAGCCACGGCUAACUACGUG